AUGAACGCUAGCUACAGGCUUAACACAUGCAAGUCAGGGGUACAUGAUUGGAGCUUGCUCCGAUUGAUGACGACCGGCGCACGGGUGAGUAACGCGUAUCCAACCUGCCCCAUGCUCUGGGGAUAACCUUCCGAAAGGGAGCCUAAUACCGGAUGUUGUGCGACGAUGGCAUCAGAAUUGCACGAAAGAUUCAUCGGCAUGGGAUGGGGAUGCGUCUGAUUAGCUUGUUGGCGGGGUAACGGCCCACCAAGGCGACGAUCAGUAGGGGUUCUGAGAGGAAGGUCCCCCACACUGGUACUGAGACACGGACCAGACUCCUACGGGAGGCAGCAGUGAGGAAUAUUGGUCAAUGGACGCGAGUCUGAACCAGCCAAGUAGCGUGCAGGACGACGGCCCUACGGGUUGUAAACUGCUUUUAUGAGGGGAUAAAGUCGGCCACGUGUGGCCGUUUGCAGGUACCUCAUGAAUAAGGACCGGCUAAUUCCGUGCC
rnacentral:rRNA from 1 species